UUCUGGUUGAUCCUGCCAGAGGCGACCGCUUUUGGAGUUCGAUUAAGCCAUGCGAGUAGAAUGAAUUAGAUCAUUGCAAACUGCUCAGUAACACGUGGAUAACCUGCCCUAUGCUCCGGGAUAACCUCGGGAAACUGAGAAGAAUACCGGAUAGACCACAACGCCUGGAACGGUGUGUGGUUGAAAGGUCACGGCAUAGGAUGGGUCUGCGGCGUAUCAGGUCGUAGGGGGUGUAACGGACCUCCUAGCCAUCGACGCGUACGGGUUGUGGGAGCAAUAGCCCGGAGAUGGAUUCUGAGACACGAAUCCAGACCCUACGGGGUGCAGCAGGCGCGAAAACUUCACACUGCAGGAAACUGUGAUGAGGGAACUCCAAGUGACUGCACAUUGUGUAGCCUUUUCUUUACUAUUAAUCGGUAUUGGAAUAAGGGCUGGGAAAGACCGGUGCCAGCCGCCGCGGUAAUACCGGCAGCUCAAGUGGUCGUCGCUUUUAUUGGGCCUAAAACGUCCGUAGCCUGUUUGGUAAAUCUGUGGGUAAAUCAACCAGCUUAACUGGUUGAAUUCUGCAGAGACUGCCAGACUAGGGACCGGGAGAGGUGUGGGGUACUCUAGGGGUAGGGGUAAAAUCCUGUCAUCCUUAGAGGACCACCAGUUGCGAAGGCGCCACACUGGAACGGAUCCGACGGUCAGGGACGAAGCCUAGGGGCACGAACCGGAUUAGAUACCCGGGUAGUCCUAGGUGUAAACGCUGUGAACUUGGUGUCGGGAGUCCGCAAUGGGCCCCCGGUGCCGGAGUGAAGAUGUUAAGUUCACUGCCUGGGGAGUACGGUCGCAAGGCUGAAACUUAAAGGAAUUGGCGGGGGAGCACUGCAACGGGAGGAGCGUGCGGUUUAAUUGGACUCAACGCCGGGA
rnacentral:rRNA from 1 species